CUGAAAAUCCUAAGUCCUGGGAACCUUCACUUAUGGGCAAACCAGGACAGUUUGUUACCCUACUUUUAGUUAAUAUCAGGGCAACUGGUUUAAGGUAGUAUAAGAGAAAUGAUUAAAUUUUUCCAGACUUGGAUAACAGAAACCUAACAGAUGAUUCACUGUUAGGAAACACUGAUUCCCAGAGCCAGAGGUGAAGGAGGGUGCUUCUGGAAAUGGGACAGGAGCAGGUAGGAAAGAAACAGCUCAGCAGUCACAUGCUUAUCAGUCUUGCUUGUAGUUGUUGCCAUGUUAUAAGCAUGUGUUUGUGGCCCUGUCUGCUGCUGACAAUGUGUCAUGCUUACAAACAAAAUAAGUAUUAAUAAAUGAAGAGGACUUUCAUAGUAAACUUCAACCUUAACUUUAAGUAUUAGGUCAUAAGCCUCACGGCCGAUUUUUCAAGUUCUAGUAUAGGGUUGCCAGGUAAUACACAGAAUGCUCAGUUAAAUUUGAAUUUUAUAAAACUAAUGAAUAAUUUUUAAAAGUAUGUAUAAGCUUAGUAUUGAGAAUAAACUUUAAAAAGUUUAAGUGUGUCACAAAUACUGCAUGAGACAUACUAAAAAGUUAUCCAUCGUUUGUCUGAAAUUCAAAUUUAGCUGGGUAUCCUGAACAGAUGAC